rnacentral:misc_RNA from 2 species
AACGCACAUUGCGCCCCUUGGUAUUCCGGGGGGCAUGCCUGUUCGAGCGUCAUUUCAACCCUCAAGCUCAGCUUGGUCUUGGGCCCUGCCGGUAACGGCUGGCCUUAAAAUCAGUGGCGGUGCUAUCGAGCUCUACGCGUAGUAAUUAACCCUCGCGAUUGAGUCUCGGUGGACGCUGGCCAGCAACCCCCAAUUUUCUAUGGUUGACCUCGGAUCAGGUAGGGAUACCCGCUGAACUUAA